UUUCGUAGCAGUUCCGUUAACUUCUCACAUUAGUGAUAUCAUGAAUCCUCUUCGACUCCUCUUUAUAUCUUUAUAUAAUCCAGAUGCAAGCGAUGGAAACCCUAACAAGCUAUGCCAGAAAUUAAGAUCUACUGAAUGAGCACAACGAAAGCUCAGCUUCAAUAGGUCUCAGCAGACCAGGAGUAUUUCGAGCAAACUCCACCUCGGCCAGUCUUUGGAAAUCAUUUCUCAGCAGAUAUCGUUCAUCCCUCCUUGCUUAUUUUGUUAAUGAAAUCAAAGAAACUUGCAGAUUUUGUUUCGUGUCAGAUGCACAUGCCGUGUGUUGCUGCUGAUUUUUGAGUUUGUAAUGAACCAAACACUAUGCCUUUCAUAUGUUCAACUCUGCACUUCUUCAGCUAUGUGAUCGCUGUGGCAUGUUAUUUAGACAAUUAGCCAGAUUUGUAUUGGAAGAUGAAGAUGCAGCCAAAAGGGUCUGACGGACUCCUUUUACCCUACAUGGAAACCAGAACUACAUAGAGAUCCCUAAAGGCACUGCAUCGGCAGUGGUUGGGACAAUGUAUGGGGUAACUAACUUCUUCAAUGUUGCUCUGAAUACAGUGUUAUGCUCUCACAUAAAUUCGAAGAAUUCUUUAAUGUAUUGUUUGUUUACCAUGAAAGCAAUUGGUUAUGAUUGGAAAUACAAUUCAAGUUGUGCAGAGCCUCCAAUGCAGUCUGGGAUUUUCAAAUCCAGUCUCUUUUUUAUCUUUCAUCACUCUCUCUCAUCACAGCUUGCUCAAUAAAAGGGAAAAUGAAGUUGCCAGUGUUGUAAAUACAAUUCUGGUGGUAUAUUCAAGGUCAGAAUCUCUAUUUUGAGUGGGAUCUGAUGAAUGGGGGUAUCAUUCUCAUGUCUCUUCGCCGAGAAAGAUGACGUGGAAGCUUCUCUAGACUCCCAGUUAAGUCCAUAAGCUCAGUGAUGACAAAGCGUGGAAAACUUUAAAGAAAUCUGUCAAGGAGGAAUGAAGAAUACUCUAGAGCCCACGAUCUUGAAGUGGUAAAAUGGUUGUUAAGAAAUCCGUUCACUUCAAACGGAUGCAACUUGGAGAAAUUGAUCACGCUUAACAUGUCUGUCUUGAAAGAAGAUUACACAAAAUAGAAUGGCUUUGAGUUGACUUUGAGUUAACCAAUCUCGGGUUUGUUAGAGAAAUCUCAGUUUUUGAUCAGAGGAACCCCAAACACGAAGCUGCUAUUAAUUUACAGAAAAUGUACAAAAGCUUUCGUACCAGGUGAAAGCUCGCGGAUUGUGUAGUGCUCGUGGAGGAAACUGCAAGCUCUUAGAUUUUGGUGAGCUGAAGAGAAGUUGUAUAUCAUUCUUUGAUAUUAAGAAACAUGAAAUCGCGAAUUCAGGUGGCCUAGAUCUUGGACAAGAGCAGCUAAGUUUGGCAAAGGUUUGUUAAAGAAUGGAAAGGCACAAAAGCUUGCUUUACAACACUCGCUUGAGGCUGUCAGUUAUAGAGAGACUAAUCUCAGUUUCAGUUUCCUUUUUUUUUUAAUUCUACUUUUUGGAUUGAGCCUAAUCUGAUCUUGGUUUAUGCACUUUGUUGCAACAUAUUGACCCUUAGACAUUGGUAUGGACACAAUAUUUAUUUUUACUACAAGUUGCUCCGCUGUCAGAGUAGAGUCCCUUACUUCUACUGGUUUGAUAUUGACGAGGGGGAAGAAGUAAACCUUGUGGAGAAGUGUCCUCAAUUGAAACUUCAGCAACAGUGCAUCAAUCACAUUGGUCCGCUUCUAAGGUUGCUGUGGAAAACGAGAAAUUCUUCUACAAGAACAGUGGAGAAAUGCUUUAAACUUCUUCUAUGGAAGAUAGUGAUUCCAAAUGGAUUUGGUGCUCAACACAUCGACAGUGUUGUACGUUGGGGAGAAGAAGGGUACGUUUCAACAUUCAAGCUUCUUAGCUGGAGAAGCAACUGUUGAUGCAUGAAGAUUUGUUGUUGAGAAUGGUGUUCUUAAAGACAUCAAUCAUUAAACUAUCUUUGUUUCUAGCAAGUUUAUGUUCUGGAACUUUGUGUAUUUGUAACUACCCGGACACAUGUGGAUGAAUAAUUUUAUUUUCUUUAUAUGUUUUCAUAUGCA